AUUGAACGCUGGCGGCAGGCCUAACACAUGCAAGUCGAACGAGUGGCGGACGGGUGAGUAAUGUCUGGGAAACUGCCCGAUGGAGGGGGAUAACUACUGGAAACGGUCGCUAAUACCGCAUACCCUCGGAUGUGACCAGAUGGGAUUAGCUAGUAGGUGGGGUAACGGCUCACCUGGGAGACGAUCACUAGCUGGUCUGAGAGGAUGACAAGCCACACGGGAACUGAGACACGGUCCAGACUCCUACGGGAGGCAGCAGUGGGGAAUAUUGCACAAUGGGCGCAAGCCUGAUGCAGCCAUGCCGCGUGUAUGAAGAAGGCCUUCGGGUUGUAAAGUACGUUCAGCGAGGAGGCGUUACUCGCAGAAGAAGCACCGGCUAACUCCGUGCCAGCCGCCGCGGUAAUAC
rnacentral:rRNA from 1 species